rnacentral:rRNA from 1 species
GACGAACGCUGGCGGCGUGCUUAACACAUGCAAGUCGAACGGAAAGGCCCUGCUUUUGUGGGGUGCUCGAGUGGCGAACGGGUGAGUAACACGUGAGUAACCUGCCCUUGACUUUGGGAUAACUUCAGGAAACUGGGGCUAAUACCGGAUAGGAGCUCCUGCUGCAUGGUGGGGGUUGGAAAGUUUCGGCGGUUGGGGAUGGACUCGCGGCUUAUCAGCUUGUUGGUGGGGUAGUGGCUUACCAAGGCUUUGACGGGUAGCCGGCCUGAGAGGGUGACCGGCCACAUUGGGACUGAGAUACGGCCCAGACUCCUACGGGAGGCAGCAGUGGGGAAUAUUGCACAAUGGGCGGAAGCCUGAUGCAGCAACGCCGCGUGCGGGAUGACGGCCUUCGGGUUGUAAACCGCUUUCGCCUGUGACGAAGCGUGAGUGACGGUAAUGGGUAAAGAAGCACCGGCUAACUACGUGCCAGCAGCCGCGGUGAUACGUAGGGUGCGAGCGUUGUCCGGAUUUAUUGGGCGUAAAGGGCUCGUAGGUGGUUGAUUGCGUCGGAAGUGUAAUCUUGGGGCUUAACCCUGAGCGUGCUUUCGAUACGGGUUGACUUGAGGAAGGUAGGGGAGAAUGGAAUUCCUGGUGGAGCGGUGGAAUGCGCAGAUAUCAGGAGGAACACCAGUGGCGAAGGCGGUUCUCUGGGCCUUUCCUGACGCUGAGGAGCGAAAGCGUGGGGAGCGAACAGGCUUAGAUACCCUGGUAGUCCACGCUGUAAACGGUGGGUACUAGGUGUGGGGUCCAUUCCACGGGUUCCGUGCCGUAGCUAACGCUUUAAGUACCCCGCCUGGGGAGUACGGCCGCAAGGCUAAAACUCAAAGGAAUUGACGGGGCCCCGCACAAGCGGCGGAGCAUGCGGAUUAAUUCGAUGCAACGCGUAGAACCUUACCUGGGUUUGACAUGGAUCGGGAGCGCUCAGAGAUGGGUGUGCCUCUUUUGGGGUCGGUUCACAGGUGGUGCAUGGCUGUCGUCAGCUCGUGUCGUGAGAUGUUGGGUUAAGUCCCGCAACGAGCGCAACCCUUGUUCACUGUUGCCAGCACGUUAUGGUGGGGACUCAGUGGAGACCGCCGGGGUCAACUCGGAGGAAGGUGGGGAUGACGUCAAGUCAUCAUGCCCCUUAUGUCCAGGGCUUCACGCAUGCUACAAUGGCUGGUACAGAGAGUGGCGAGCCUGUGAGGGUGAGCGAAUCUCGGAAAGCCGGUCUCAGUUCGGAUUGGGGUCUGCAACUCGACCUCAUGAAGUCGGAGUCGCUAGUAAUCGCAGAUCAGCAACGCUGCGGUGAAUACGUUCCCGGG